GAGUUUGAUCCUGGCUCAGGACGAACGCUGGCGGCGUGCCUAAUACAUGCAAGUCGAACGAACUCUGGUAUUGAUUGGUGCUUGCAUCAUGAUUUACAUUUGAGUGAGUGGCGAACUGGUGAGUAACACGUGGGAAACCUGCCCAGAAGCGGGGGAUAACACCUGGAAACAGAUGCUAAUACCGCAUAACAACUUGGACCGCAUGGUCCGAGUUUGAAAGAUGGCUUCGGCUAUCACUUUUGGAUGGUCCCGCGGCGUAUUAGCUAGAUGGUGNGGUAACGGCUCACCAUGGCAAUGAUACGUAGCCGACCUGAGAGGGUAAUCGGCCACAUUGGGACUGAGACACGGCCCAAACUCCUACGGGAGGCAGCAGUAGGGAAUCUUCCACAAUGGACGAAAGUCUGAUGGAGCAACGCCGCGUGAGUGAAGAAGGGUUUCGGCUCGUAAAACUCUGUUGUUAAAGAAGAACAUAUCUGAGAGUAACUGUUCAGGUAUUGACGGUAUUUAACCAGAAAGCCACGGCUAACUACGUGCCAGCAGCCGCGGUAAUACGUAGGUGGCAAGCGUUGUCCGGAUUUAUUGGGCGUAAAGCGAGCGCAGGCGGUUUUUUAAGUCUGAUGUGAAAGCCUUCGGCUCAACCGAAGAAGUGCAUCGGAAACUGGGAAACUUGAGUGCAGAAGAGGACAGUGGAACUCCAUGUGUAGCGGUGAAAUGCGUAGAUAUAUGGAAGAACACCAGUGGCGAAGGCGGCUGUCUGGUCUGUAACUGACGCUGAGGCUCGAAAGUAUGGGUAGCAAACAGGAUUAGAUACCCUGGUAGUCCAUACCGUAAACGAUGAAUGCUAAGUGUUGGAGGGUUUCCGCCCUUCAGUGCUGCAGCUAACGCAUUAAGCAUUCCGCCUGGGGAGUACGGCCGCAAGGCUGAAACUCAAAGGAAUUGACGGGGGCCCGCACAAGCGGUGGAGCAUGUGGUUUAAUUCGAAGCUACGCGAAGAACCUUACCAGGUCUUGACAUACUAUGCAAAUCUAAGAGAUUAGACGUUCCCUUCGGGGACAUGGAUACAGGUGGUGCAUGGUUGUCGUCAGCUCGUGUCGUGAGAUGUUGGGUUAAGUCCCGCAACGAGCGCAACCCUUAUUAUCAGUUGCCAGCAUUAAGUUGGGCACUCUGGUGAGACUGCCGGUGACAAACCGGAGGAAGGUGGGGAUGACGUCAAAUCAUCAUGCCCCUUAUGACCUGGGCUACACACGUGCUACAAUGGAUGGUACAACGAGUUGCGAACUCGCGAGAGUAAGCUAAUCUCUUAAAGCCAUUCUCAGUUCGGAUUGUAGGCUGCAACUCGCCUACAUGAAGUCGGAAUCGCUAGUAAUCGCGGAUCAGCAUGCCGCGGUGAAUACGUUCCCGGGCCUUGUACACACCGCCCGUCACACCAUGAGAGUUUGUAACACCCAAAGUCGGUGGGGUAACCUUUUAGGAACCAGCCGCCUAAGGUGGGACAGAUGAUUAGGGUGAAGUC
rnacentral:rRNA from 2 species